rnacentral:rRNA from 1 species
AUACGGAAGGUCCGGGCGUUAUCCGGAUUUAUUGGGUUUAAAGGGAGCGCAGGCGGAGAUGCAAGCGUGACGUCAAAUUUCGGGGCUCAACCCCGUCUCGCGUCGCGAACUGCGUCCCUUGGUUGCGGGAAGGGGAGGCGUAACUCGUGGUGUAGCGGGGAAAUGCAUAGAUAUCACGAAGAACUCCGAUCGCGAAGGCAGCCUUCCGGCCCGUCAACGACGCUCAUGCUCGAAGGUGCGGGUAUCAAACAGGAUUAGAUACCCUGGUAGUCCGCACAGUAAACGAUGGACACCCGCGGUUUGGCCUGUAUGGCUGAGCCGCCAAGCGAAAGCGUUAAGUGUCCCACCUGGGGAGUACGCCGGCAACGGUGAAACUCAAAGGAAUUGACGGGG